CGGGCCGGAGUGGCGGACGGGUGAGUAACGCGUAGGUAUCUGUCCUUGGGUGGGGGAUAACCGUGGGAAACCGCGGCUAAUACCGCAUGACACCUGUGGGUCAAAGGCGCAAGUCGCCUGGGGAGGAGCCUGCGUCCGAUUAGCUAGUUGGUGGGGUAAUGGCUCACCAAGGCUCCGAUCGGUAGCUGGUCUGAGAGGAUGAUCAGCCACAUUGGGACUGAGACACGGCCCAA
rnacentral:rRNA from 1 species